UAGGGAAGGUGACUUAUUAUAAGUAGUGAUAGAUCCAUACCUUAUGAGUUUUGUGCUCUGUUUAUAGAGGUAAAUGAGAUAAGUGCAUAACGACUAAGGGGAGCAACAAACAAGUAGAUCAUAUGACUAUACUAUAUAUUUCAAAUUAAUAGAAAUACAUGAACUAACCAUCUGAUCUGAACCAUGUGCAUACAGAUACCGGAUCAUGACACUGUUAGGCUGAUAACGGGAUCGUGGGUGCGUGAGCAAUACGGAAAAUGGAUAUUUGAUUCCCUUUCAGAAGAAAGCUGCUACCGCGUUACCCUCUUACAUGG
rnacentral:lncRNA from 1 species